rnacentral:rRNA from 1 species
CGGCAAAAGCUCAAAUUUGAAAUCUGGGGUCUUCGACCUCCGAGUUGUAAUUUGAAGAAAGUAUCUUUGGAAAUGGCCUUUUCCUAAGUUCCUUGGAACAGGACUUCAUAGAGGGUGAGAAUCCCGUAUGGAGAGGUGACUAUUUCUAUGUAAAGUGCUUUCGAC